AUAUUCAGGGUAGCAAUAUUCUGGAUGUUCAGCGGCGCAAGGGUGCGUAACACGUGGGUAAUCUGCCGUGAAGCCUGGAAUAACUCGCUGAAAGGCGAGCUAAUACCGGAUGUGACGUUUGGAAGGCAUCUUUUGAACUUCAAAGCUGGGGACCGUAAGGCCUGGCACUUCACGAUGAGCCCGCGGCCUAUCAGCUAGUUGGUGAGGUAAUGGCUCACCAAGGCUAAGACGGGUAGCUGGUCUGAGAGGACGACCAGCCACACUGGAACUGAGACACGGUCCAGACACCUACGGGUGGCAGCAGUCGAGAAUUUUUCACAAUGGGCGAAAGCCUGAUGGAGCGACGCCGCGUGGGGGAUGAAUGGCUUCGGCCCGUAAACCCCUGUCAUUUGCGAACAAGUUGUUUCACCUAACACGUGAAGCAUUGAUAGUAGCGAAAGAGGAAGGGACGGCUAACUCUGUGCCAGCAGCCGCGGUAAUACAGAGGUCCCAAGCGUUGUUCGGAUUCACUGGGCGUAAAGGGUGCGUAGGCGGUCGGGUAAGUCUGACGUGAAAUCUCCAAGCUCAACUUGGAAAUGGCGUCGGAUACUAUUCGGCUCGAGGAAUGGAGGGGAGACUGGAAUUCUCGGUGUAGCAGUGAAAUGCGUAGAUAUCGAGAGGAACACCAGUGGCGAAGGCGAGUCUCUGGACAUUUCCUGACGCUGAGGCACGAAAGCCAGGGGAGCAAACGGGAUUAGAUACCCCGGUAGUCCUGGCCCUAAACGGUGCACGUUUGCUGUAAGAGGAAUCGACCCCUUUUGUGGCGAAGCUAACGCGUUAAACGUG
rnacentral:rRNA from 1 species